GGCCGCGGGAAUUCGAUUCAGGCCUAACACAUGCAAGUCGAACGCACUUCUUUUCACCGGAGCUUGCUCCACCGAAAAGAAGUGAGUGGCGGACGGGUGAGUAACACGCGGGCAACCUGCCCACCAGAGGGGGAUAACACUUGGAAACAGGUGCUAAUACCGCAUAAUUGCUUUUGCCGCAUGGCGAAAGUAUGAAAGACGCUUCGGUGUCACUGGUGGAUGGGCCCGCGGUGCAUUAGUUAGUUGGUGGGGUAACGGCCUACCAAGACCAUGAUGCAUAGCCGACCUGAGAGGGUGAUCGGCCACACUGGGACUGAGACACGGCCCAGACUCCUACGGGAGGCAGCAGUAGGGAAUCUUCGGCAAUGGAC
rnacentral:rRNA from 1 species